rnacentral:rRNA from 1 species
AAUGCAUCGGAAUCUGCCUCUAUGUGGGGGAUAACGUAGGGAAACUUACGCUAAUACCGCAUACGACCUACGGGUGAAAGCCGGGGACCUUCGGGCCUGGCGCAGAGAGAUGAGCCGAUGCCGGAUUAGCUAGUUGGCGGGGUAAAGGCCCACCAAGGCGACGAUCCGUAGCUGGUCUGAGAGGAUGAUCAGCCACACUGGAACUGAGACACGGUCCAGACUCCUACGGGAGGCAGCAGUGGGGAAUAUUGGACAAUGGGCGCAAGCCUGAUCCAGCCAUGCCGCGUGAGUGAAGAAGGCCUUCGGGUUGUAAAGCUCUUUUGUUGGGGAAGAAAAGCUUCCGGUUAAUACCCGGGAGUCCUGACGGUACCCAAAGAAUAAGCACCGGCUAACUUCGUGCCAGCAGCCGCGGUAAUACGAAGGGUGCAAGCGUUACUCGGAAUUACUGGGCGUAAAGCGUGCGUAGGUGGUUCGUUAAGUCUGAUGUGAAAGCCCUGGGCUCAACCUGGGAACUGCAUUGGAUACUGGCGAUCUGGAGUGCGGUAGAGGGUGGCGGAAUUCCCGGUGUAGCAGUGAAAUGCGUAGAUAUCGGGAGGAACAUCCGUGGCGAAGGCGGCCACCUGGACCAGCACUGAC